GGAGAGGUGCCGGAGUGGCCGAACGGGGCGGUCUUGAAAACCGCAGACCCUUUACGGGGUCCGGGGGUUCGAAUCCCUCCCUCUCCG
rnacentral:tRNA from 1 species